rnacentral:rRNA from 1 species
GACGAACGCUGGCGGCGUGCUUAACACAUGCAAGUCGAACGGAAAGGCCUGCUUUCCCUUGUGGAUUGCGGGUACUCGAGUGGCGAACGGGUGAGUAACACGUGAGUGAUCUGCCCCCAACUUGGGUAUAAGCCUGGGAAACUGGGUCUAAUUCCCGAUAGGACUGCAGGGUGGUGCCUGUGGUGGAAAACGAUUUUCUAGUGGUUGGGGAUGAGCUCGCGGCCUAUCAGCUUAUUGGUGGGGUAAUGGCCUACCAAGGCGGCGACGGGUAGCCGGCCUGAGAGGGUGGACGGCCACAUUGGGACUGAGAUACGGCCCAGACUCCUACGGGAGGCAGCAGUGGGGAAUAUUGCACAAUGGGCGGAAGCCUGAUGCAGCGACGCCGCGUGGGGGAUGACGGCCUUCGGGUUGUAAACUCCUUUCGACCGCGAGGAAGCCACCUGGUUGGAAGGGUGGUGACGGUAGUGGUAGAAGAAGCACCGGCUAACUACGUG